AAACGCCGCACGCCCGGAAGUGAAAAGCGGAUACAGAAACAGGGAGAAGCCAAGGCUUAACCUAGAUCUCUCGUUAGACCAACGUAAAGAGAGAGAAGCGCACCGUUCUCGGAAGUACUGCAAUACCAGGUCGAUGCGUGGAGUGGACGGAGCAAGCUCCUAUUCCAACCCCCAGCUCCAAAAAUCCAUUUAAUAUGUUGUCCUCGGAUAGAAGACGUAUCAGAUAUUAAACUGAUAAGAACAGAUACUACACUUGAUCUUAGCCAAAAGGCCGAAAAGCGAUAACCUCCGCCCCCGCCGGCCCCCGCACCACCUCCCCUCCAUCCCCAUCUAGCGCACGGUGACCACCCGCACCCUCGCUUCUCCUCCGAUGCCUUUGCCGUCUCCACAGAGAUAUCACUACCCCUUGAGCACAUCUCUGCUCUCUGCCGUUUUACGGAGAAACUCUAUAUUCUGGGUCGUUCCGUCGUGCCCGCGCCGACCCUCCGCUUCUAAUCUGCAUGCCCCGCCUUCCACCGCCAGAGCACGCGCGGAGACCGCGGGCCGACUCCACCCUCAGCACCGCCCCCUCGCGCCCACAGCCCAGACCUCACCCGGAGCCCGCCUCCCCGCCCGCGGACCUCCAGCCCGAGACCCGAGGUGGAGGGGCGGCUCCCGGAGACCUCGCUCCCCGCGAAGGGAGCGCUGACACCGUAGGCGCUCGCACGGUUCGAGCCCCAGAAAGCGAGAGCUCCGCGUUGUCCGCCGCUCUUUCCCCCGCACGUACGGCACACUCAACGACCCGUCCACGAGUAGGAGAGCCUCCUGCACGCUUAGCCAGGGCCCGACACGUCGCGAUUACCCAGGCUCUUCAGCCACCGCCCCGCCCCCCCCAUUCCUUGCUCCCGACGGCUCUGCUCGCGUCCGGGUUCUCUCGCCCGUCUUCUGCCGGACGGUUCGGAUCCGCCCCGCCCCCGCUGCUGCGACGGACCUUCGCAUUUCGGGAGAUCAGGGACGGUGACUGGAAGAGCAGGGCAGGCGGGGGCCUUCUCGGCCUCGGUCCCCAGCCUCGCCAACGACCCCGCGUGGGAACGCUUUGUGGGGGGGCAUGGGGGGAGGGCUCUGUCUCGAGGUCACGGGUGAAAAUGGCACGUCAGCGCAGUACUUUGGAGCUGCAGUUUUCUUUUCGUUCCUUCUUUUCUUUUCCUUUUGUUGGUCUUUUUGCCUCUUCGAGGGCCGCUCUCGCGGCACAUGGAGGUUCCCAGGUUCCCAGGCUAGGGGUCGAGUCGGAGGAUCCGAGCCGCGUCUGCGACCUACACCACAGCUCACGGCCACGCUGGAUCCUUAACCCACUGAGCAAGGCCAGGGAUCGAACCCGCAACCUCAUGGGUCUUCACUCCUGGAUCCGCAGUUUUCUAACCUCGGGUAAAGUCAGGACCUUCCUAAGCAAGAGAGAGCCAGGGGCACGGAGAAUGGAACAGGCCGCUCCUGAAAAAGCCAACAAGAAGUCACCACUGCCACAAGCUUCCAACGAAAAUCGGACGAAAAGGGAACAGACACAGCUUUUCUUAAACCUACAGUUGUUUUACCCCGGGAGGGGGUGCACCGUUCCCGGAAGUACUGCAAUACCAGGUCGAUGCGUGGAGUGGACGGAGCAAGCUCCUAUUCCAACUCCCAGCUCCAAAAAUCCAUUUAAUAUGUUGUCCUCGGAUAGAGGACGUAUCAGAUAUUAAACUGAUAAGAACAGAUACUACACUUGAUCUUAGCCAAAAGGCCGAGAAGCGAUGCCCGCCCCCACCCCCAGCGCCCGCACCGCCCGGCCCGCAGCCACACUCAACUCACGGUGACCCCCACCACCCCGCGCUCCCGCUCGCCCCUCCUUCGCCUCCCUCGCACCACUGCGGCGGGCGCUACGCCGGCCUCUCCCGCGGAUGUUUUCCUCCCUACAUCGUCAAAGACGACUCCUCCACCGCUCGCGGCCUCGCCGGCCUCGGGCUGGGGCGACCUUUGCAGUUUGCAUGUCCCGCCCGGUCCCAACCGAGCAGGCGUGGCCAAGGCGGGCUCGCCGGGCCCUGGGGACCGCCUCCAGGCGCCCGGCGCGGAAGCCCGGCUGCAGAGGCCCGAAGGCCUCUUUGGGCCACAACUCCCGGGCCCCUGGGGCCGAGCCUGGGGUGGCCAACGACAAAGGCUUGUAGAGUCGCUCAGGGUGUUGGGGGUCCAGUGCCUCUCCUCCUGCCCAGGCUGCGUGCUGACUCACCAGGUCACGCCCAACUUGGGAUGGCUGCUGCUGCCGCCCCCUUCUCUGACUGGUCCCCUGGGGCGAUGGCCAUCCCUCUGGGGACUCCCGCCCCUUGGCUCCCCUGAUCCUCUCUGACCUCUCAUCCCCCAGAGGCUGAAGCCCCCUCCAGAGUCCUUCCUUGGCCUCCGGGCCCUCUAAGAUCAUGUGGGGCUUUCCCCACCCAUCCCCCACGCUGGAUCCUUAGAGACGGGAUAGAGUUUGGAUUCCAGAAUGUUUCCGAUUUUAGGCUUGGGUACCAACACCCUGGCCAGGCCCAGCUCUCAUCAAGCAUAUUCACAUUUUUGCAUCCGACUACGUGUUUGCGGUGUUCUCACCAGGACACCGUCUCUGAGGGAGGAGGCGGGUUGGAUCCCUGGCCUUGAUCAGCGGGUUAAGGAGCCAGCGUGGCGGCAAGAAACGUGGUACACUGCAGAUGCUGCACUGAUCUGGUGUGG
rnacentral:lncRNA from 1 species